GAUGAACGCUGACAGAAUGCUUAACACAUGCAAGUCUACUUGAAUUUGGGUUUUUAACUUAGGUUUGGGUGGCGGACGGGUGAGUAACGCGUAAAGAACUUGCCUCACAGCUAGGGACAACAUUUGGAAACGAAUGCUAAUACCUAAUAUUAUGAUAAUAGGGCAUCCUAUAAUUAUGAAAGCUAUAAGCGCUGUGAGAGAGCUUUGCGUCCCAUUAGCUAGUUGGAGAGGUAACGGCUCACCAAGGCGAUGAUGGGUAGCCGGCCUGAGAGGGUGAUCGGCCACAAGGGGACUGAGACACGGCCCUUACUCCUACGGGAGGCAGCAGUGGGGAAUAUUGGACAAUGGACCGAGAGUCUGAUCCAGCAAUUCUGUGUGAACGAUGAAGUUUUUCGGAAUGUAAAGUGCUUUCAGUUGGGAAGAAACAAAUGACGGUACCAACAGAAGAAGUGACGGCUAAAUACGUG
rnacentral:rRNA from 1 species